rnacentral:rRNA from 1 species
GUCUCAGGCCGUAUCAGCCUGAAGGCGCCCGAUCUCGUCUGAUCUCGGAAGCUAAGCAGGGUCGCGCCUGGUUAGGAUCUUGGAUGGGAGACC